rnacentral:rRNA from 1 species
AUUGGUGCUUGCAUCAUGAUUUACAUUUGAGUGAGUGGCGAACUGGUGAGUAACACGUGGGAAACCUGCCCAGAAGCGGGGGAUAACACCUGGAAACAGAUGCUAAUACCGCAUAACAACUUGGACCGCAUGGUCCGAGUUUGAAAGAUGGCUUCGGCUAUCACUUUUGGAUGGUCCCGCGGCGUAUUAGCUAGAUGGUGGGGUAACGGCUCACCAUGGCAAUGAUACGUAGCCGACCUGAGAGGGUAAUCGGCCACAUUGGGACUGAGACACGGCCCAAACUCCUACGGGAGGCAGCAGUAGGGAAUCUUCCACAAUGGACGAAAGUCUGAUGGAGCAACGCCGCGUGAGUGAAGAAGGGUUUCGGCUCGUAAAACUCUGUUGUUAAAGAAGAACAUAUCUGAGAGUAACUGUUCAGGUAUUGACGGUAUUUAACCAGAAAGCCACGGCUAACUACGUGCCAGCAGCCGCGGUAAUACGUAGGUGGCAAGCGUUGUCCGGAUUUAUUGGGCGUAAAGCGAGCGCAGGCGGUUUUUUAAGUCUGAUGUGAAAGCCUUCGGCUCAACCGAAGAAGUGCAUCGGAAACUGGGAAACUUGAGUGCAGAAGAGGACAGUGGAACUCCAUGUGUAGCGGUGAAAUGCGUA